ACGAACGCUGGCGGCGUGCUUAACACAUGCAAGUCGAACGGAAAGGCCCCUUUGGGGGUACUCGAGUGGCGAACGGGUGAGUAACACGUGAGUAACCUGCCCUUGACUUCGGGAUAACUUCAGGAAACUGGGGCUAAUACCGGAUAGGAAUCCUUGCUGCAUGGUGGGGGUUGGAAAGCUUCGGCGGUUUUGGAUGGACUCGCGGCUUAUCAGCUUGUUGGUGGGGUAGUGGCUUACCAAGGCUUUGACGGGUAGCCGGCCUGAGAGGGCGACCGGCCACAUUGGGACUGAGAUACGGCCCAGACUCCUACGGGAGGCAGCAGUGGGGAAUAUUGCUCAAUGGGCGGAAGCCUGAUGCAGCAACGCCGCGUGCGGGAUGACGGCCUUCGGGUUGUAAACCGCUUUCAGCAGGGGCGAAGCUUGUGGUGACGGUACCUGCAGAAGAAGCACCGGCUAACUACGU
rnacentral:rRNA from 1 species